GAAAUGCGAUAAGUAAUGUGAAUUGCAGAAUUCAGUGAAUCAUCGAAUCUUUGAACGCACAUUGCGCCCGCCAGUAUUCUGGCGGGCAUGCCUGUUCGAGCGUCAUUUCAACCAUCGAGCCCCCGGCUUGUGUUGGGGACCUGCGGCUGCCCGCAGGCCCUGAAAAACAGUGGCGGGCUCGCUGUCACACCGAGCGUAGUAGCAUACAUUCUCGCUCAGGGCGUGCUGCGGGUUCCGGCCGUUAAACGACCUUCAUAACCCAAGGUUGACCUCGGAUCAGGUAGGAAGACCCGCUGAACUUAAGC
rnacentral:misc_RNA from 1 species